CUCAUUUUAAUUACUUUAUAUACUGCUGCUUUUGAAUUUCUCCCCCGGGGAUCAAUAAAGUCGUACCUUACGUUAACCUGUAAUAAUACUUUUGUUGAUUUUAUUUUGUAUUAAUCUGAACCUGCAAAGUAACUAAAUGUAUCAGACAAAUGCAGUGCAGUAAAAAGUACAAUAUUUCCUCUGAGACGUGGUGCAGUAGAAGCAGAAAGUAGCAGAAAAUGGAAAUACUCGCGUAAAGCACCUCAAGAUCGUGGCGUUCGUUUUUUCCACCAAUAAGAAACACCGGUGUCGCCAAAGCAACCAGAAGCGAAAUUCAAAGAUUUUAACUUUUAAAUCGGCCUUCGUCAUAAGAUGUGUGUGCGCUUUCGUGCUCACGGGAGGUGUAGUUUUCAUACAAAUUGAUGCUUAUACUUUUUUUUUUUUUUUUAUUAAUAAUAAUAAACAAUUUUUAAUGUGUUCAGAGGUUCGGUGGGUCGCAAUAUAUAACACAAACAGCCACAGAAGGUCAAACUCAGCAGCCGUUCUUCACUUCACUUAUUUCAGAGGAAAUGAAGGUAAAAUGGCCGUCUUGCACGGAGUGCGAGCAGAUCAGUGAAGCGAGCGUCACCUUCAUGACCUCAGCUCAGCAGCCACAUCUGCACAGUAAGUAGCCAACGUUACUCUACAUGUUUAUCAUUUAUUAUUUUCAAGAUCUGAGGAUCGUUUUGCGUGUGCACAGUUUACCGAUCUGUUCCCACCAACUUCCAUUUGACCCCCGGGGGCCUCCUUAAUUCUGUGACAGCAGCCGUGUACUUUGUGCAGCUAACAGCUAAAUAGGUGACUGACAUCCAACGGCAACCAAUCAGCAGCCUCCUCAGCUAAAGUGUGUUGAGCUGCAGUUCCUCUAACCUCCACUAGAUGCCGCUGUGAUCGAACGCUGACUGUAUUGAAGUGAAUGGGGGGGAAAACCUCCAACUUCUCUCUACAAACUCAGUCAGUACAGUUUUUACGCAACAGGUUCUGCUCUCGGGGGUUAAUUUCACUUGUGAUGUGAGUCUGAGGGCAGAUUGUCAACAUUUAGUUCCUUUAAGCAGACAUUAAAGCUGUGUGUUUGAUUGACAGGUGUCGCGCCCUGUUACCACGUGCUCUGGUGGUUGCCGCUCCGCCUCUUUUUGCCCGAGUUAGGAUUUCCUGGCUCCAGCGUGUGACGCAGAGGGCGGCGAGCUCCCGAGCGUCCACAGAGACGGGUUUCAUACAGUCCGAUGGGAGUAUGAAGUAUCAGCGGGGGUGCAGCGGUGGCGUCUCCCGGCCAGAGUCUCUGAUGUAACGUCCUCGGAGACCUGCAGGUCAACAGCUCUGCUUUUAAACAACAAGCCUGAAGGUGUAGCAGAUGUCCUCCAGCUCUACAGGAGCUUUGUUAUCCUCAUUAUCAUCACCCUCGCCUUCAUCUUCAGUGUAAUUAGCGCUGAGCUGCAGCUGUGAGCGGCGGCCCCCGGGGGCCCCCCCGACUCCCACAGGCCCCCGCUUAGUAAACACUCAGUGUGGAUAAUGAUGUUCAGAUGGAGCUCAUUGACCUGCAGUCUGACACACUUCUGGCAGAGCACUUCAGGUGUGACAGACGACACAAGUAAUCAGGCAAGUUUCAAGAGUCUGCUCAUUGAUUUUCAUGUCACAUGGAAAUGAUUAGAAACCGAUGGCUGUCACCAAUUUGUGACCUUAAGUCGCCACAGUUUAGUAGUAAAUAUAAAAACACUGGAAUAGUCCUUUUUAAUUGCAGGAUUUUAAAUUUUCUCGCACCACUGACUUAAAUAAAAGUCAACAUAAUUAAUCUGCGUCAGGACAGUUUUGGAUUUUUCCCAAAUUAUGGAGCACUAAAGUGAUAUUUUUGUAUAUUUUGCUUUCUCAAUACAACUUUGUUGUCAGAUAAACUUGUUAGUCAGGGCCGAAGACAGGAUUAAUAUUAACAUUAAUAAUAAUCAUUUUAUUUGUACAGACGUCAAAGUGCUUUCCAGUGCAGGGAGACGGCAUAAAAAGACAAUCGCAGAUAUAAAAACAGCAUAAAAGACACAGUUACAUAUAAAAACAAUUAAAAGUAAACACACAAUCUGGCUGUAACGCAACAAAACAAAUGAGUCUAGUUGUCAGACAGAAAGGGGAGUCUAUAAAAACUGAAUAACAUUUAAAAAUGCAGUAGAAACGACCUCAGCAGGGUCGAAGCUACAACGGCAGCUAAAGGGACAAGUUGCUUUUAUAAAACGUCUCCGGCAGGUUACUUUCAGAGAGUUGAUUUUAAAAGACUUAAAAGACUCACUGCUGGACUUUUACUCCUCCCUCAAAGAGGAGAGCUUUCCACACCUGAGGAGGCAUGCUCAGAGGAUUCUAGUCCUCUUUGGAUCUACCUGUGUAUGCGAACAGACGUUCUCAGUGACGAAGUUCAACAAAUCCAAACACAGGUCCUCUGUCACUGAUGACCUUUGCGUAGCCGACUCAGACGUUCAGCCAGAUUUCAAUGUCCUUGUUCAAGCCCAGAACAGACCGGAUUAUUCUCACUGAAGAGGUCAAAUGAGGUGGAAAACAUUUUUCAAGUUAUUGUUUGUUGUAUUGCUGUAUUUCUAUAAACUUAAGUUGUUUUUUUCAUUGUUUGUGGUUAAAAACAAGUUUUUAACGAGUUAAAAACAAAUUGCACUGAGUCAAUAAUUGUUUUUUUUCUUAUAUAACCACAAUUUCACAUUGCCUAAUAUAAAUAUUUACAGAAUAGUUUUAUUCUUCCGAUUAUCAGUACCAGCUAUUAAAAAUAUAUAAUUUAGUGCAUUUUACAAUUGAAGAAAGUUGAGCAGAAUUAAGUUCAAGUUAUCGUUGGUUUGGCCCUCGGACACAAUUCAGGUUUCUCACGUGGCCCCUUGUAAAACAUGAAUUGCCCAGCCCUGAGCUAGAAGCUAAUGCUGAGUCAACAAACUGAUGACAAAGUAGCUGCAAAGCCACCAUGUAGUUACAGCUGAAUAAAAUCUAAUCUUUACUCUAAUACAGUUGAUUUCGCUGAUUUUAAAAGUGUUUGGUUCGCAAAGCCAACACAAAUAUGUGAAACAAUAAAACAUACAGUGUAAUUACAAAGCCAGCUGUGGGGGUAGCCAUCUUGGAAUAUGCGUGAACACUAAAACCUGAACAGGAGGUUUUCUUGAUAUUCCCAUUUCGCCGACAUACUGUAGCAUGAAUGCAGCUAACUGGACCCAGAAGCUAACGCUAAGCUAACUGAAUAGUCUUUAUGUUAGUUUGGUUUAGCUAAAGGUUAGCUAACAGUGCAGUUUAGCAGUUCACUACAUCUACACUACAUCUUUAGUCGCACGUUAUUUUACAGAUUUAAGAUUUCUGCACACAAAACACAUAAAAAUGUACAGCUGAAAGAUAAGUCGAUUAAUCAGUUAGU